AGAGUUUGAUCAUGGCUCAGAAUCAACGCUGGCGGCGUGCCUCAGACAUGCAAGUCGAACGCGAAAUUUCCCUUCGGGGAGAAAGUAGAGUGGCGCACGGGUGAGUAACACGUAGGUAAUCUACCUUUGGAUGGGGUAUAACAAUCGGAAACGAUUGCUAAUACCGCAUAAUGCAGCGGCACCUAAUGGUGACAGUUGUUAAAGCGGGGGAUCGAAAGACCUCGCGUCUGAAGAGGAGCCUGCGGCGGAUUAGCUAGUUGGUAAGGUAAUGGCUUACCAAGGCUACGAUCCGUAACCGGCCUGAGAGGGCGGUCGGUCACACUGACACUGACAUACGGGUCAGACUCCUACGGGAGGCAGCAGUCGGGAAUUUUGGGCAAUGGGCGAAAGCCUGACCCAGCAACGCCGCGUGAAGGAUGAAAUCCCUCGGGAUGUAAACUUCGCAAGAACGGGAAGAAUAAGUUGGUGUGAAUAUCACCAGCGAUGACGGUACCGUUUGUAAGCUCCGGCUAACUCCGUGCCAGCAGCGGCGGUAAUUC
rnacentral:rRNA from 1 species